rnacentral:rRNA from 1 species
UACGGGGGGAGCAAGCGUUAUUCGGAUUCACUGGGCGUAAAGGGUGCGCAGGCGGCCAAGUGUGUGAGGCGUGAAAGCCCGGGGCUUAACCCCGGAAUUGCACCUCAAACUACAUGGCUAGAGCAUUGGAGAGGGUAGCAGAAUUCACGGUGUAGCAGUGAAAUGCGUAGAUAUCGUGAGGAAUACCAGAGGCGAAGGCGGCUACCUGGACAAUUGCUGACGCUCAGGCACGAAAGCGUGGGGAGCAAAAGGG